CAGUCGAGCGGAACGAGUUAUCUGAACCUUCGGGGGACGAUAACGGCGUCGAGCGGCGGACGGGUGAGUAAUGCCUAGGAAAUUGCCCUGAUGUGGGGGAUAACCAUUGGAAACGAUGGCUAAUACCGCAUGAUGCCUACGGGCCAAAGAGGGGGACCUUCGGGCCUCUCGCGUCAGGAUAUGCCUAGGUGGGAUUAGCUAGUUGGUGAGGUAAGGGCUCACCAAGGCGACGAUCCCUAGCUGGUCUGAGAGGAUGAUCAGCCACACUGGAACUGAGACACGGUCCAGACUCCUACGGGAGGCAGCAGUGGGGAAUAUUGCACAAUGGGCGCAAGCCUGAUGCAGCCAUGCCGCGUGUAUGAAGAAGGCCUUCGGGUUGUAAAGUACUUUCAGUCGUGAGGAAGGCGGCGUCGUUAAUAGCGGCGUUGUUUGACGUUAGCGACAGAAGAAGCACCGGCUAACUCCGUGCCAGCCGC
rnacentral:rRNA from 1 species